rnacentral:rRNA from 1 species
GACGAACGCUGGCGGCGUGCUUAACACAUGCAGGUCGAACGGUAAGGCCCUUCGGGGUACACGAGUGGCGAACGGGUGAGUAACACGUGGGUGAUCUGCCCUGCACUUCGGGAUAAGCCUGGGAAACUGGGUCUAAUACCGGAUAGGACCACUGCCUGCAUGGGUGGUGGUGGAAAGCUUUUGCGGUGUGGGAUGGGCCCGCGGCCUAUCAGCUUGUUGGUGGGGUGAUGGCCUACCAAGGCGACGCCGGGUAGCCGGCCGGAGAGGGUGACCGGCCAGGCGGGGACUGAGGUACGGCCCAGGCUCGUACGGGAGGCAGCAGUGGGGAAUAUUGAACGAUGGGCGCAAGCCUGAUGCAGCAAGGCCGCGUGAGGGAUGACGGCCUUCGGGUUGUAAACCUCUUUCAGCACCGACGAAGCGCAAGUGACGGUAGGUGCAGAAGAAGGACCGGCCAACUACGUGCCAGCCGCCGCCGUAA